GCCGGGGUGGCGAAACUGGACAUACGCGCCUGACUUAAAAUCAGGUGUGGGCUUAGGCCCGCGUGAGGGUUCGAGUCCCUCCCCCGGCA
rnacentral:tRNA from 1 species